AACGAACGCUGGCGGCAUGCCUAACACAUGCAAGUCGAACGAAGCCUUCGGGCUUAGUGGCGCACGGGUGCGUAACGCGUGGGAAUCUGCCCUUAGGUACGGAAUAACUCAGGGAAACUUGUGCUAAUACCGUAUGAUGUCGAGAGACCAAAGAUUUAUCGCCUAGGGAUGAGCCCGCGUAGGAUUAGCUAGUUGGUGGGGUAAAGGCCUACCAAGGCGACGAUCCUUAGCUGGUCUGAGAGGAUGAUCAGCCACACUGGGACUGAGACACGGCCCAGACUCCUACGGGAGGCAGCAGUGGGGAAUAUUGGGACAAUGGGCGAAAGCCUGAUCCAGCAAUGCCGCGUGAGUGAAGAAGG
rnacentral:rRNA from 1 species